rnacentral:rRNA from 1 species
UACAGAGGGUGCAAGCGUUAAUCGGAAUUACUGGGCGUAAAGGGUGCGUAGGUGGUUAAUUAAGUUGGAUGUGAAAUCCCUGGGCUUAACCUAGGAACUGCAUACAAUACUGAAUAGCUAGAGUGUGGUAGAGGGUAGUGGAAUUUCCGGUGUAGCGGUGAAAUGCGUAGAUAUCGGAAGGAACACCAGUGGCGAAGGCGGCUACCUGGACUAACACUGACACUGAGGCACGAGAGCGUGGGGAGCAAACAGGAUUAGAUACCCUGGUAGUCCACGCUGUAAACGAUGAGAACUAGAUGUUGGUAGGCAUGACCUAUUAGUAUCGAAGCUAACGCGAUAAGUUCUCCGCCUGGGGAGUACGGCCGCAAGGUUAAA